GAACAAAUGUCGCUACGGCUGGAGCAAUGGGAUGACGCUAUAUAGUCUCAAAAUGGCUACUUAUUGCGUCAUACUUCUUCUCUGCGUGGCUCUUGGUGCAUACGAAGUAAACGCGAAUUUCAAUGUCUUGAAGAGAAACGACACAGUUGGCGACAUAGAGAUGUGAACUCGAAACUCGCAGCCUGUCGUUGUGGUCUUACUGCAUGUGAGGGGAAAAUAAUCGCCCUAAAUGAAAAUAUUACCAAUUUGAAUGCAGUUCUGAGCAUUGCCAAUGGAAAUAUUGACACUUUGACUCAAGAUUUGAGCAACGCCAAUCAAAACAUCGAAAGUUUAUCUCAAGAUCUGAGCAACGCCAAUCAAAGUAUCGACACUUUGACUCAAGAUUUGAGCAACGCCAAUCAAAACAUCGACAGUUUAUCUCAAACUCUUGGAAAUGUCAGUUCGCUCUGUCAAACAAACUGGACAGCUGUAGAAGCGGCUUGUCAUGGAGAUAUAUUUAUCCUGCUAGCCACGGAGUGUCAGAAGAUGUGCGUGACUAUACUUGUAGAGCAAGUGGAUUUGGUUUGACCACUUUUCAAGAGAAGAAGACAUUCUGCCAGAGUUUUGGAGGCAGAAUGAUUGUCCUUGACACAUUCAUGAAAAAUGCUCUUCUCCAAGAAUUUAUCAGGAAGCAUACUGCCAACGUCGGGCCAAGGCUACUAAUUGGAGGCAUGUACGACCCCAUUAAGGAAAAACCAUACUGGUUACAUGACAAUUCUUCGUUCACCUACAGCGACAUUGCCAGCACGAGUGUCCCUGACUCCACAAAGCUGUGUGUUGCGGUCACCUCGCAGGCGUCCUUUCAGUGGGAGUAUAUUCCUUGUGACGGAUUCGAUGACGGGUUCGUUUGUGAAGUCGUUGUGUAAAAGCGUAGGUUCCAAUGGACCAAAUUAAUUCAUAUUGCCGAUAAUGUUAAUGUUAAUUUUAGAUCGAUAUGUCCGUGUUAACGCUUUAAAAAUAAAUAAUCCGUUUUAGCAAUUGUCUAUUUAAAAAAUGUGAAACCUAAGAAAUAAUGAA